UACGGAGGGUGCAAGCGUUGUCCGGAUUUAUUGGGUUUAAAGGGUGCGUAGGCGGCCUUAUAAGUCAGUGGUGAAAGCCCACAGCUCAACUGUGGAACUGCCAUUGAUACUGUAAGGCUUGAGUACAGACGAGGUAGGCGGAAUUGAUGGUGUAGCGGUGAAAUGCAUAGAUACCAUCAAGAACACCGAUUGCGAAGGCAGCUUACUAGGCUGUAACUGACGCUGAGGCACGAAAGCGUGGGGAGCGAACAGG
rnacentral:rRNA from 1 species